AGGCCGGGGGCGGGGCUGGGCGGUGUCUCCCUGGGAGAGCGGUCUCUCCUACGCCCCCAUUUGAUUGGCGCUGCGCGGGACCUCCCCGCCUUGCGCCAGCCACGGAGAGCCAGAGCCAGCCAGCGGCCGGGACCAGAGGCAGAGAGGCGCGGCUGGGGAGGCUGGGGACUGCGGCUGGGGCUGGCCGAGAGGCGCCCGGCCUCCGCUUUCCCGGGACUUCGCUCCCCCGGGCGUCCCGCCCUGUCCGUCGCAGCGGCCGCUACCUCUCGCCUGGCACACAGCGGCGUGGACGCGCGCUCCCGGCGCCGGUGUCUGCGUGCUUUGGGCGCUGGCCGCGCCGGGCUCACGGACCCCGGCACUCGGAAACGUCCCUGCCUGGCCACCGGCGGGGAGCCAGAGCCCAACUCCUAGGAAGUGUCCUCUCUAUCCUUUCCCUACUUCUUGUGAACUUCUGACCCACAUCACUCAACUGGGAACGGCCAUCUCCAAGUGGUGUGACUCAGUGGUGGAGUUCUAGGAGAUGCUUUCUCAUGGGGAUGGAGAUCCAGGAGCUGGUGAAGAGAUCCAUGGACAGAAGAUUAAAGGAAAUCCUUGGAAGAACAAGGGAACAGUGUGGGACACCAGAAAAGCCUUCAUGUUCUCCAGCAUAAACCAGUGUUGUGGAGUCCAGUUCCAGAGUAUUUCCAAGACUUGAGAAGUUCAUAUCUCCCACCAUGCCUCCAGAAGUCCCCCACCAUGGCCGGAGCUUGGCAGAUAAGUAUGCUAAACUUACCAACCUCUUCUUUUUAGUCUUUUUGGUUGUGAGAAAGGCUAGCGGGGGGGGGGGGGCUAGAUACUUAGCAAAUGUUAAUAUUGAGUGGAACUGAACAGAACACAGACAUGGUGGAUCAUAGGAUCUCCGGUUAGGAAGAAAACUAGAGAGGUCAUUUUCUUGAUUCCUUUACCUUUGGGUAGCAUUACAGAAAGGUGAGAGCCCAUUUCCUUUGAUUUAGAGGAUCCCAGAGAAGGCAAUUCUUCACCCAUCCUGCUCUAACUCUCAUUCUAGGCUUUCUUUGGUUCCAAGCUCAAUUUCUCCUGCUGUUCCAGUGGUAUUGAGAUCUUUCAGUCUUAGUGCCAUAAAAAGCAUGGGAACCAAGUAUCUCUGUUGAUUGGGGUUCUUAUAGUCUUGCUUCCUCUUUGACUUUGACUGAGGAUUUAAUAUCAUACUUUCCCUUAUAUGUUCCCUUAUAUUCCCAAAUACUGCUGCCUAAAACAAUACUUUACUUAAAUUUAGAUAAAAAGUCUUUGCAUUCAGUGUAACAAAAUGUCUGUGGCAGAUAAUGAUACAGGAUAUAUCUGGACCUCAGUUUCCUUCUCUGUAACAUAAGGGAGUUGGACUAAAUGACCUUUAAAUUCCUUUUCAGUUCUAGUACUCUGAUAAUCAUAGCUAAGUAUAUUUCUUUCAGGUCCAGGAUAGAGUCUCCACACCCCCAUCUUCCUAGCUGGGUGACCAGGAACAUUGGGACAUCUUUGGGGAACAGAAGCUAUAUAUAUAUAUAUAUAUAUGAGCUGAGAGGUCAUUCAGUUCAACCUCAUUUUUUAAACAAUGAAGAUGUUAUUUUUGAUGGAUUACUAACAGAAUUAGGUUAACCUAUGAUCCAUGUAAAUUUCAAUAAUUCCUUUAUAAAUACAUUUAAAAUGCUUAUACAUUUCCAAUGAAAUGUCAGAUUUCAUGGAUACAGCUUUUAGACCAAAUUUUUUUGGUGGUCUUUAACAGGAAUUGUUUUAUUUAAAACUGAGUCACAGUGAGAUUAAGGUGAACCAUAGGGUAAAGACUCUUCAAAACAGUGAGACCGACAGAGUGGUAUGCUUACCAGCACGUUCCUUGUAAUUACGAGGCAUAUUUAAUACCAACUAUUGUUCAGUGAAAUGAAAACAACAUUAUAUAAAAUGUAAAAGACACUUGGCUGUGAACAGAAUGUAUUGGUUGGUCACUGCCUUUUUUUUUUUUUUUUUAACUAGACCAAUCUCCUAGUUUUACAGUUGGAAAAAUGGCCCCAGGCAAAGAAAAUGACUUGCUUCAAAUUACAUACUAAGUUAGUGACAGUGUUGGAACCAAACUCCAGUCCUCCUGAAUUUUUAAUUUCCAAUUCCACAGAGAGACUCCAUUUCUUUUGUUUUGAAUUCCCUGGGUUGCCAUCAUGUAUUCCAUUCUCACUGCCUGACUGGCCCCUAGACUUUGCAGAGCAGGAAGAGCCACUUGCUUAAGUGUCUAGAGGCUCAGACCAUUAUUGCUCCCUAUACAUUUUGAAAAAGUACCCAAAAAGUAGAUUUAGUCUUUUUUCUUUCCCCCGUGUAUAGAUCUGGUGCCAUUGUCCUUUGAGGCCUUUUCCUAUAGGUAUAGGGUAACUCGAGUGCUUGGGCCACAGUAGUCAAUUAGUCUUAUUGACCAACUAUAUUCCUUGAAGGCCACUGAAGAAUAGAAGGAGAUAUUUUCAGUAGUCACCACUUUUGUCUACUUUGUGGAAAAACGAGUGAGGAAAAUAUUGGUCCACUCCUGACUAGAACAGUCAGUUCUGCAGAGGAUUCCUAAACAAUUAUAAUAGGAGCCUCUUCUGUCCGUGUAUCAGUUCCAUGUUACUAAGGCAAAACCUCCAGCUUCUAUUUGGAUACUUUUUUAACUCCUCGAAAGCUGACUUCAGUGUUCAUUGUUAUCUGAUUUUGCCCAGAUAAAUACAUUAGAUGGAAAGAUUAGCAGCUUUAGCUGUUUUUUCAAAGACCAGGACCCUCAGGUCCUUCCUGUGUAUCUCCAGUGUUAUACUCUACCAAGGAACAUCCUCAGUGUUGGCACCUGAUCCCACUUCACAUUUUUAAGGAUGGCCUUAAUGGGUUCUCCUUUUACCUUUAGAGAAUGAUUAUCAUCAUGAUUUUACAAUUAUCUUCGGGUAACCAAAAAUAAAGCAUUUUCAUACUUUUUAAACCAGCUCCAAUGGUUUAGCGUCUCAAAUUGUCAGUGCAACAGAGAUAUAUUUCAGGAAGGUCUUUACAGACUCACUAUGAGAAAGGUUACCUUCUGCUAUCAUGGAAGUAUCAAGCAGAUUUAUUCCCUAAAGACAAAAAAAUAGAUUCCCGCAAAAGUAUGUUAAUGAUAAAGAUACAUAGAUAAAAGUAACAGACAUUUGUUUAGUUCUUUGAGAUAUCUUAAAGUGUUCCUUACAAUUUAUCUCAUUGGAGUCAUGUAGUUGGUAUAUUACAGAUUUUUAUCUCCAUCUUAGAGAUUAGUGUAGUUAGGAAGCAUAGGAGGUGAGAUUUGAACCAGUCUGACUCCAAGUCCAAAGCUCAAGCCACCAUACCAUGUUAUGUAUAGAACAAAGGUACUGGGAGGGACAUACUUAGAACUUGGUUCUGUUCAUUUCAUCAAUGCACCUUUACCAAAUCUAGGGGCUCAGUUGAGUCUGAGAUGCUCUCUGCAAGGAACCAAAUCUUCCUAAAGCUCCAAAGAGAAUGCCUGGUAGUGUAUUAUAAUCUUUACAUGGCGGCAUGUUGGUUGUUUCUGUUGCUGAUAUCGGUAUUGUUUUUAUUAUUAUUGUUGUUAUUUUGGUUAUUAAGCUUGCUGGGUUUUUCCUCCUUGGAUCUUCCCCAUUACAUAAAACCUGCCCUCCUCCACAAUGACUCUGCAGUUUGUUGCUGUCCCCUACCAUAGUGCUGAAACACUUUCCCCAUUCCCUGGCUUUCCCUGGCCAUGGUGCUGACAGCAAUGUCACCUUUGAUCUCUUCAAGUAGCUCCAGGCCUUGAUAUCUGUGUGUCUCUCUGUGUGGUGGUUUGGGGGAGAUGGAUGUGAGAUGGUAGUUGAUCAGACUUUAGGAUCCAUAUGGUUCCUGGGACCUCCCACUAGCUAAAAGACCCUGGGGUUGGGGAGGGAUCUUGUUUUCUUCUGCUGCUUUGCUCGGUUGUCUUCUCUUUCAGCCACUAAGGACCAAGCCUGGACAGUUCACAAGCCCAUCCAACAUCUGGAGCCCCGGAAAUGCUUGCCUUGAUUCUUCUUACUGUCAACCAGUUGGUUGGACACUUCCAGAGAAACUCUGCCUGUUCCAGAUUCCAAGAGCUGCUACAUCCUGACUCUUCCCUCCGGAGAAGUGACCAGCCUCAUCCAGAGUUCCAUUUUCAAGUCCCAGAUGGAGGAUACUCACCCUCGGCCGACAGACUCUUUUUCUCAGGACCUCCCCACCAUCCUGUCCCUUUCCCAUCCAGCAGAGUGAGUGCCAAAGCUCAGAGAAUGCUGGGAAGAGCCCUGCAUUUAGAGUUGGAUGGCAUGACUUUGAAUUCUGACCCUUCUACUUCUACUCAUGUGAAUUCUGACAAGUCACUUCACCUCUUUGGGCCUCAGUUUCCCCUUUCUAAGGGGAAAGGACUUUAGAAUAAUUCCUUUCCAUACGUAGAUCUAUGUAAGGACCUAUUAGUGAGUUCCUGACCUGGCAUCUGUUCCGCAGAGAAGGAUGAUCUCAAUUUGAUCAGGAGAUCCAGAAUACUGCUGCCUACAGAGGCAGAGCCGCAGGUAAAGGUGCAGGGAUGGAGCUUUGGGAAGAGUUCCAGCUGUGGCCAGCUGCCUGCCCAGAGGAUGUACAGAGUCUCCAAGGAGACUUUCCCUGUUCUGCAGCCCUAGCCUUUUCUACCUGAGGGGCAGAGGGCUGCAUGCUGAUUCUAAUUCAGUCUCCAGCUUAAGGAAUCUCUAGCCUAGGAUAGGGCAGGAUAUAUUGGGAAGACCAUUGAAUCUGGCAUCCGAGCACUUGGGUUAGAACUCUGAGGAGCUAUGUGGUCUUGGGAAAGUGCCUUCACCUAUCUGGCCUUGGUUUCCUUGCCUGGAAAAGGAGAGGGUUGGACUACAUGGUCUCUAGAGGUCUUUUAACUCUUUAGGCUGCUGCUUCUUUGCCUGUUCCUUCUCCCUCCCUGCUUUUACUGGGGUACCCAGCCUGUGGCCAAAACCAUUCUCUCAAUAAUGCUUUUCCUAAUUUUACUUAGAAAGACUCCUGUAGGGGGAGAUAGGGAUGCAAAAUUGUAAGAGGGAAAGUAAAAGGUGGGGAAAGUUCAGGUAGCCUAGAUUUCUACAUAGAGACCUUUCUGUUUGUCACCUUCUUCAAUCAUUCCUGAAAGGCAAGGUACCUCCCCUCUUUGUGAGGUUUGGUGAGAUCCCCUAGACUCACAGGGGAACAAUUUACUGCCCAUUAUUGGAGUAGGACUAGUGGAGGCGAGGAGGGAAUGAUUUUCAGGAGAAAUGAAUGCCGAGCAAUUAAUUCCCUGCCCUCCUGACCCAGCUGUGAAUGGGCAGAGCCAUAUUCUUGAAUUACCCAACUUUAGAGAUCGCUAAGUUUUCUAGUCCAGAUCUUGGGCCAAGCCCCUGUUCUGCUCAGCCAGGGGACACGUACCUAGCAAUCAGAAGGGGAAAGUGAGUGAGAUGUGGUACCUGAGCAAGAUUACCAUCUCCACAAAUUCCCUAACCACCCUUAAUGGCUGAGGGUAAAACUCAAUUUUAUCAGUAUUGGGAAGAAAUGGCUAGGGUCCAAUUUGGUCCUCACCUGUCAAACCAUAGCUGAGGUGUUGACAGAUCUCAUCUUAACCCCUCUGCCACCUGAUUUUCCUCUGGACAUCUGUUAUCCUGUCAUUGCAAAGUUCUGCCUGUUGGUAGGAAGAAGGCAAGCAGGAGAGAAAUCCUGAACUGGGUGCACAGCUGGGGCUCUUUGCACCAGGUACUUGACCUCCAGGCUCCCUUGAUUGAUCUCAAUUAUAGAAGUAAUGAAAUCUCACUUUCCGGAAGGCAGGGGACUGGAUCAGAUGAUCUAUGGAGAUUCCUUUCUGUUCUAGUCUCUAGGGAUCCAUGGCUUCUGGAAGUCAGGAAUAGUCUGGCACGGACUUGGAAACACAGAGAUACCUUAAGAGUCAUAAAUGUCCUGUUACUGGAGGUCAAGUAGAGGCUGUAUUGCCACCUUCUAGGUCUAUAUCCCCUUGCUUAAAACCAUGAGCAGUGAUGUCCUUGGGGUGAAUGCCGUUGGCCCUUCAGCCCUUAAACUGUGACAGGGCUGCUGAGGAAGUAGUUUUGGAGAAGUUUGGUUUGUUAUUUAUGUUCUUCCAGAAGGGGUAUGGACAUAUCCAGAGAGAACCUACUUCUGUGGUACAGUAGAAGCAACACUGGCCAUGGAGUUAGAGGAACUGGGUUCAUUUCCUACCUCCAUUGUUUACUCUCUAUGUGACCUUGAACAAGUCACUUAACUUGAUCCUUAGUUUCUCAUCUAGAAAAUGAGGAAGUUGGAUCAAGUGACUUCUGAAACUCUUGCAAGCCCAAAUCCAUGAUUGUGCAAUGACUCAUUAAGGUUUUCUCUCCUCUCUGAGGUUUCAAAUGACUCCUUUUAAAAACUAUUUAUCUGUUGAGCAUAUUUCACCUUUUAGAGUCUCUGAGUCAGUAAGAACCAUGACCUAGACUGUGAAGAGCAAGUCUUGUCUAGGAGAUUCGGGUUCUAGCUCCAGCUUGGCUGCAAAUUGUCUGUGUGAACUUGGGCAAGUUAUGAGCCUCAGUUUCCUCUUCUGCAAAAUUAGAGCAAUGGGCAAGAUGACCUCUAAGCUAUAGUUUUCCUAAAACUGCUCUUUGGAGGCUUGAAGGGGUGGCGGCAGUCUCAGUUCUGAACUCCUCCGUCCCAGUAUUGAGUGUCUCGGCACUGGACGCCUACCCUUCCUUCAUACUUUAGCCCAUGCCUGAUGGCUUGGGACAUGGAAAACUACUUUCCGAUGAAUUCUCUGGAGGAAUCGUUGCAAACAUUUUUAAAAGCCCCACUCCCAAGUUCUAUGCUGCCUGAACUCUACACUUGGUCCCUCUGGGAGUGAAGGGUGAAGGGAAAAAGGCCAUGUUUUGUAGUUGAAGUCAAUGCAGACCAGUUUUCCCUUUAUGUGAGGGAAUGGGGCAACAUUCAAAAUGCCCCCAGGUUUUCCAGGCCAUAUCUUGGGUCAAGGUCCUGCUCUUAGUCAGAAGACAGUCUUCCAGGGCAGAUCUUGGGUCAAGGUCCCGCUCUUCUUAGUUGGAAGACAGGUGUCUAUCAGCUAGAUGGGAAAAGUGAAUAGAAUGUGAAACCUUAGCGAGAUAACCCACCCUCCAUCUCCCCCAAUCCUUAGACCUCCCCAUUGACCAAUAUUUUUGAUCAUUAGAAACUCAAGCUCGGUGAGGAUGUCAAAAACCCAAGCCAAAAAUUCUCGUUAGUCCAGAAGUUUUCUCAGCUUUUAGCCUUAUUUUAGUGCAACCCAAUCCCCCCAUAGUUGUAGAUCGAGAAGAACCCAGUUCUAUC